UGAAUACGAGAUGCUACGGCGUCGAAGCAGUGUAUGUCAUACUUCCAAGAAAAGCUCGCUAUGUCAUAAACAAUUAAUGCCUGUACCAAAACCGACACAGGUGGGUAGGUAGAGUAUACUAAGGGGCGCGAGAUAACUCUCUCUAAGGAACUCGGCAAAAUGACUCCGUAACUUCGGGAGAAGGAGUACCUUAUUUAUAAGGUUGCAAUAACAAGAUCCAAGCAACUGUUUACCAAAAACACAGGUCUCCGCUAAGUCGUAAGACGAUGUAUGGGGGCUGACGCCUGCCCAGUGCCAGAAGGUUAAAGAAGUUGGUUAGCAUUCGCGAAGCUGAUGACUGAAGCCCUGGUGAACGGCGGCCGUAACUAUAACGGUCCUAAGGUAGCGAAAUUCCUUGUCGGGUAAGUUCCGACCCGCACGAAAGGCGUAAUGAUUUGGAUACUGUCUCGGAGAGGGGCUCGGUGAAAUAGACUUGUCUGUGAAGAUGCGGACUACCUGCACCAGGACAGAAAGACCCUAUGAAGCUUUACUGUAACUUGAGAUUGAAAUUGGACUUUAUUUGUGCAGUAUAGGUGGGAGGCGUUGAAGAAAUUCUUGCGGGAAUUUUGGAGCCAUCAGUGAGAUACCACCCCUAUAAUGUUAGAUUUCUAACUUUGUAUCAUUAUCUGGUCAAAGAACAGUUUCAGGCGGGCAGUUUGACUGGGGCGGUCGCCUCCCAAAUGGUAACGGAGGCGUACAAAGGUUUCCUCUGAACGGGUAGAAAUCGUAUCUAGAGUAUAAAGGCAUAAGGAAGCUUGACUGUGAGACCUACAAGUCGAGCAGGGACGAAAGUCGGUCUUAGUGAUCUGACGGUGCUGAGUGGAAAGGCCGUCACUCAACGGAUAAAAGUUACUCUAGGAUAACAGGCUGAUCUCCCCCAAGAGUUCACAUCGACGGGGAGGUUUGGCACCUCGAUGUCGGCUCAUCGCAUCCUGGGGCGGUAGUACGUCCCAAGGGUUGGGCUGUUCGCCCAUGAAAGCGGUACGCGAGCUGGGUUCAGAACGUCGUGAGACAGUUCGGUCCAUAUCCGGUGUAAGCGUUAGAAUAUUGAGAGGAGCCUUCUUUAUUACGAGAGGACCGAGAAGGACAUACCUCUGGUGUACCAGUUAUCGUGCCAACGGUAAACGCUGGGUAGCUAUGUAUGGAGUGGAUAACCGCUGAAAGCAUCUAAGUGGGAAGCCCACCUCAAGAUAAGUA
rnacentral:rRNA from 1 species